rnacentral:rRNA from 1 species
GAUGAACGCUGGCGGCGUGCCUAAUACAUGCAAGUCGAGCGAACAGACGAGGAGCUUGCUCCUCUGACGUUAGCGGCGGACGGGUGAGUAACACGUGGAUAACCUACCUAUAAGACUAGGAUAACUUCGGGAAACCGGAGCUAAUACCGGAUAAUAUAUUGAACCGCAUGGUUCAAUAGUGAAAGACGGUUUUGCUGUCACUUAUAGAUGGAUCCGCGCCGCAUUAGCUAGUUGGUAAGGUAACGGCUUACCAAGGCAACGAUGCGUAGCCGACCUGAGAGGGUGAUCGGCCACACUGGAACUGGGACACGGUCCAGACUCCUACGGGAGGCAGCAGUAGGGAAUCUUCCGCAAUGGGCGAAAGCUUGACGGAGCAACGCCGCGUGAGUGAUGAAGGUCUUCGGAUCGUAAAACUCUGUUAUUAGGGAAGAACAAAUGUGUAAGUAACUAUGCACGUCUUGACGGUACCUAAUCAGAAAGCCACGGCUAACUACGUG